rnacentral:rRNA from 1 species
AACGAACGCUGGCGGCAGGCUUAACACAUGCAAGUCGAACGCCCCGCAAGGGGAGUGGCAGCCGGGUGAGUAACGCGUGGGAACAUACCCUUUUCUACGGAAUAGCUCUGGGAAACUGGAAUUAAUACCGUAUACGCCCUACGGGGGAAAGAUUUAUCGGGGAAGGAUUGGCCCGCGUUGGAUUAGCUAGUUGGUGGGGUAAAGGCCUACCAAGGCGACGAUCCAUAGCUGGUCUAAGAGGAUGAUCAGCCACAUUGGGACUGAGACACGGCCCAAACUCCUACGGGAGGCAGCAGUGGGGAAUAUUGGACAAUGGGCGCAAGCCUGAUCCAGCCAUGCCGCGUGAGUGAUGAAGGCCUUAGGGUUGUAAAGCUCUUUCACCGAUGAAGAUAAUGACGGUAGUCGGAGAAGAAGCCCCGGCUAACUUCGUG